rnacentral:rRNA from 1 species
UACGUAGGGGGCAAGCGUUGUCCGGAAUCAUUGGGCUUAAAGCGCGCGUAGGCGGCCCGGUAAGUCCGUUGUGAAAGUCAAAGGCUCAACCUUUGAACGCCGAUGGAUACUGCCGGGCUAGAGUCCGGAAGAGGCGAGUGGAAUUCCUGGUGUAGCGGUGGAAUGCGCAGAUAUCAGGAGGAACACCAAUAGCGAAGGCAGCUCGCUGGGACGGUACUGACGCUGAGGCGCGACAGCGUGGGGAGCAAACAGG